rnacentral:rRNA from 1 species
GUGGGGAAUAUUGGACAAUGGGCGAAAGCCUGAUCCAGCCAUGCCGCGUGAGUGAUGAAGGCCUUAGGGUUGUAAAGCUCUUUCAGUAGGGAAGAUAAUGACGGUACCUACAGAAGAAGCCCCGGCUAACUUCGUGCCAGCAGCCGCGGUAAUACGAAGGGGGCUAGCGUUGUUCGGAUUUACUGGGCGUAAAGCGCACGUAGGCGGAUCGUUAAGUCGAGGGUGAAAUCCUGGAGCUCAACUCCAGAACUGCCUUCGAUACUGGCGAUCUUGAGUCCGGAAGAGGUGAGUGGAACUCCUAGUGUAGAGGUGGAAUUCGUAGAUAUUAGGAAGAACACCAGUGGCGAAGGCGGCUCACUGGUCCGGUACUGACGCUGAGGUGCGAAAGCGUGGGGAGCAAACAGGAUUAGAAACCCCGGUAGUCC